UACGUAGGGUGCAAGCGUUGUCCGGAAUUAUUGGGCGUAAAGAGCUUGUAGGCGGUUUGUCGCGUCUGCUGUGAAAUUUCGGGGCUCAACCCCGAACUUGCAGUGGGUACGGGCAGACUAGAGUGUGGAGGGGAGACUGGAAUUCCUGGUGUAGCGGUGAAAUGCGCAGAUAUCAGGAGGAACACCGAUGGCGAAGGCAGGUCUCUGGGCCAUAACUGACGCUGAGAAGCGAAAGCAUGGGGAGCGAACAGG
rnacentral:rRNA from 1 species